UGGAGACUCUUUCUUCUUUUGUAAUUGAAUAGUGUCCUGAUUACCUUCCACUGGUUGAUCUUUUGAUGAAGUUUAACUCUGUUGUAGAAUCAUGCUUUGGAAUGGAGCUCUUAGAUGGCUAAGGCAUGGUCUUUGAAGAUUUUAAGAAUGAGCUAAAGUUUGUGUCUGAGCAUGUUGAAAACCUUGGAUUCAGUUUGAAGCUAGAAUGGAAAGGACAUGUGCUCAUCUAUCAUGUGGAAGAGUUUUUGAAACAGACUGGGAAACCACUUGGAAUUUAUACAGAACAAUGCAGUGAAGCAGUCCAUGCCAACUUCAAAAAGACAUAUAAGAGAUACGCUUGUAAUGAGGCAUUUGAAGGGCAUGGAGAAAAGCUGAGAAAAGCUGUCUCAAGUUAUUCGAGCAUGCGCAUUUAGAAUUCAUCUAGUUUGUAAAAUUUGUAAACCCAACUUUGAAUAUUGAAUAUGUAAACCAAAUAAGUAGC